rnacentral:rRNA from 1 species
UACAGAGGUCUCAAGCGUUGUUCGGAUUCAUUGGGCGUAAAGGGCGCGUAGGCGGCGGGGUAAGUCGGGUGUGAAAUCUCAGGGCUCAACCCUGAAACUGCAUUCGAUACUGGCGUGCUUGAGGACUGGAGAGGAGACUGGAAUUCAUGGUGUAGCAGUGAAAUGCGUAGAGAUCAUGAGGAAGACCAGUGGCGAAGGCGGGUCUCUGGACAGUUCCUGACACUGAGACACGAAGGCCAGGGGAGCAAACGGG